rfam:Musa acuminata subsp. malaccensis Doubled-haploid Pahang (DH-Pahang) genomic chromosome, chr2
GUGCCCAAUGAUGUCUACGUUAACCAUGCUAAUGCUGAAAUACUUUGAAGUUAAGUUGUAUGUUCUGAGGGAACC